GGAGAGGUAGCUCAGUGGUUAAGAGCACUGACUGCUCUUCCAGAAAUCCUGAGUUCAAUUCCCAGCAACCACA
rnacentral:tRNA from 1 species